rnacentral:rRNA from 1 species
AUACGGAGGGUGCGAGCGUUAAUCGGAAUUACUGGGCGUAAAGCGUACGUAGGCGGUUGGUUAAGUUAGAUGUGAAAGCCCCGGGCUUAACCUGGGAACUGCAUUUAAAACUGGCGAACUAGAGUUGAGUAGAGGGGAGUGGAAUUUCAGGUGUAGCGGUGAAAUGCGUAGAGAUCUGAAGGAACACCAGUGGCGAAGGCGACUCCCUGGACUCGAACUGACGCUGAGGUACGAAAGCGAGGGUAGCAAACGGGAUUAGAAACCCCAGUAGUCC